GAUGAACGCUGGCGGCGUGCCUAAUACAUGCAAGUCGAGCGAACGGACGAGAAGCUUGCUUCUCUGAUGUUAGCGGCGGACGGGUGAGUAACACGUGGAUAACCUACCUAUAAGACUGGGAUAACUUCGGGAAACCGGAGCUAAUACCGGAUGAUAUUUUGAACCGCAUGGUUCAAAAGUGAAAGACGGUCUUGCUGUCACUUAUAGAUGGAUCCGCGCUGCAUUAGCUAGUUGGUAAGGUAACGGCUUACCAAGGCAACGAUGCAUAGCCGACCUGAGAGGGUGAUCGGCCACACUGGAACUGAGACACGGUCCAGACUCCUACGGGAGGCAGCAGAGGGAAUCUUCCGCAAUGGGCGAAAGCCUGACGGAGCAACGCCGCGUGAGUGAUGAAGGUCUUCGGAUCGUAAAACUCUGUUAUUAGGGAAGAACAUAUGUGUAAGUAACUGUGCACAUCUUGACGGUACCUAAUCAGAAAGCCACGGCUAACUACGUG
rnacentral:rRNA from 1 species